AUAAAUACGUCGUAGUCAGUCGUACUGUAUUGCCAAAGUGAAGCAGAGAAACGUUUCGUUGCCUUUACUGUUAUUGCAAUUCUGAUUUCCAAAGAUGAACUCGAAAGCUUUGCUUAUCCUGCUGUGUGUGUUCUCGCUGAUGAUUGCAGACUACUCUGUCCAAGGCGCAAGAUCUUGUGAGACAUACAGUGUUUGCUCAUGGUGCGGAUCGAGCUGCACGAGGAGGGGAUACACGUCUGGAAAAUGCAGAUAUUCAUCUUUGUGCCCAAGAGGAAGGACAUUCUAUUGCAGAUGUUCUUGGAGAAAUGGUUGAUGUAGAAAGAAGCUUUAAUCAAUUCAAACAAUAAAAUGAAAGUAAUGCAGAUA